AAUCUUCGGAGCCCAAUAGGUAGCCUGCAGUACACUGCUGGCCCCCACACUGCACAGUGGUCGCUGGUCGGAGUCGGAGGCGAACUCACCACACCGGCGGCCGGUUAGGGUUAGGCCGUGAGCAAAAAUGGCGGCUACCAGUCGCCGGCGGAGCCUCUCCCCGCCAGCCAACUGUAGGCCGCGCGGCUCCCCUCCGGCUAACCAUAGGCGGAGCCGCUCCCCCCCGGCCACCGCAUCCUCGCCGUCCUUCCCGCCGGAUCUGAUCUCCGAGGUCGCGAGGCGCCUCACUAGCCUCCAGGACUUCUUCGCCCUCCGCGCCGCCUGCCGCACCUACCGUACUUCCCGCUGACCCCAUACAACCUCGCCUCCCAAGCGCCGCUCCUCCUCGUCCCGUUCGAGGACACCGAAUCCCAUGCCCCCUUCCACCCAACCCUCCGCCGGAUCCACCGCUUCCGCUUCCACCGCACCCCCUCUCGCCGGCGACGAGUACGCCUUUAUUGACUUCCACUCACUCGGCUUCCGUGUCGCCAUCUAUGAAAUCAGGGGGGUUCCAAUCAGGGGACUUGUGGGCCAGCCCACCCGCUUCAACCUCAGCAUCGUUAACCUCCUCACAGGCGAGCGAACCUGCCUCUCCAGUCCCCCGGAGCGCAUCUCCCGCGUCCUCCUCUACGGCGACCUCGUCCUCACCUGGGAGUACUUCGACCGCGCCAUCCAUUACUGUCGCCUCGAAGCCGCUGACUAGCGUGUGGCGUCAAUCAUCGAGCCCUACAAGCUUCAUAGUUUGGCCUGUGUGAAUGGCGUCCUCUACGCACUGGUUACCCCAGGUUACAUUCUUGCUGUUGUCGAGCUGUCAGAAUACAAGAAUCGGGUGGAAUUGGUGCUUCUCGGAGGCAAUUUGGAUGCAUCCAUUGUGCGAAAGCAUGAGGAAUCAUCUCCACACGCCCGCCACCCCCCCCCCCCCCCCCCCCCCGCGCGCCAGUUGCACCUUGCUGAGUGCUGUGGUGAGCUGAUACUGAUUAGCACCAUGGAAUUCGAUCCACGGGUCUACCAUGUCUUCAAGUGGAAGUUGGGGGAGGCGAAGUGGGAGAGGAUUACUAGCCUUGGUGGGUGCAUGCUGUUUCUCGCAGAUGAUUGUUUGUAGGAUGCCUCAGUCCUGAUCAUAAGGGCAUUCGAGGGGACUCCAUAACAGAAGAUACCGCUGGGGAUUGGUACGAGUAUUCUUUGGAUGAUGGGUCUUUCAACAGAUUUGUCGCCGAAUACCAAGGAGGAGCAGUACCAUUGGAUAUGUGUACUCUGACUUGGGUCCUUCCGAGCAUGUGUUGAUGCACUCGUAUGACUUUAGGUUCAUGAUCAUAAUGGUUCUCUCUUUUGCGUUUCAACUAGUCACUGGUGGUGUCCCAGCACAGCUGUGGCGGUGACAUGUUAGGAGCUUCAGUCCGGAUGCAAGCAUGCAGUCUUGCUGUAGUGACUUCAUUUGGUGUUAUUACAGGUUCAUGAUCUUAAUAGUGAUCGUCUGCAUCUCUUGGUGUUAUUACAAGCAUGUAGCCAAAGGCAAAAGAUGACCUUGAACUUCAUUGUGGAAGUACUUUAACGACCUGUGUGUAUGUGAAAAUCCUUCUGGCGCAGAUGAUGGAUUCGAAUGCUUUUUGUUAAGCAGUUAACUAGAAGUGCAUCUGAAGGACUGUUGUGAUGCGUGUAAUGCUGGCGUGAAGUCAAAAUAGUAUUCCUGUGUUAUGCA